rnacentral:rRNA from 1 species
CCAUUUAGCGUGGGCGAAGCCUGACCGCAAUGCCGCGUGCAGGAUGAAGGCCUUCGGGUUGUAAACUGCUUUUGUACGGAACGAAACGGUUCUCCUUAAUACGGGGGGCUAAUGACGGUACCGUAAGAAUAAGCACCGGCUAACUACGUGCCAGCAGCCGCGGUAAUACGUAGGGUGCGAGCGUUAAUCGGAAUUACUGGGCGUAAAGCGUGCGCAGGCGGUUAUAUAAGACAGAUGUGAAAUCCCCGGGCUCAACCUGGGACCUGCAUUUGUGACUGUAUAGCUAGAGUACGGUAGAGGGGGAUGGAAUUCCGCGUGUAGCAGUGAAAUGCGUAGAUAUGCGGAGGAACACCGAUGGCGAAGGCAAUCCCCUGGACCUGUACUGACGCUCAUGCACGAAA